UACAGAGGUGGCAAGCGUUGUUCGGAAUUACUGGGCGUAAAGGGCGCGUAGGCGGUCCCGUCAGUCCCUUGUGAAAUCCCCCGGCUCAACUGGGGAACUGCAAGGGAUACAGCGGGGCUUGAGUUCGGGAGAGGGAAGCGGAAUUCCGGGUGUAGCGGUGAAAUGCGUAGAUAUCUGAAGGAACAUCAGUGGCGAAAGCGACUUCCUGGACCAAUACUGACGCUCAUGUGCGAAAGCGUGGGGAGCAAACAGG
rnacentral:rRNA from 1 species